rnacentral:rRNA from 1 species
GAAGGUCCCCCACAUUGGUACUGAGACACGGACCAGACUCCUACGGGAGGCAGCAGUGAGGAAUAUUGGUCUAUGGACGGAAGUCUGAACCAGCCAAGUCGCGUGAAGGACGAAGGUAUUAUGUAAUGUAAACUUCUUUUUCAGGGGAAUAAAGUGAGGCUUGCGAGCCUUUUUGCAAGUACCCUGCGAAUAAGGAUCGGCUAACUCCGUGCCAGCAGCCGCGGUAAUACGGAGGAUCCGAGCGUUAUCCGGAUUUAUUGGGUUUAAAGGGAGCGUAGGCCGUCUGUUAAGCGUGUUGUGAAAUGUAGAUGCUCAACAUCUGAAUUGCAGCGCGAACUGGCAGACUUGAGUGUGCGCAACGUAGGCGGAAUUCGUGGUGUAGCGGUGAAAUGCUUAGAUAUCACGAAGAACUCCGAUUGA